rnacentral:rRNA from 1 species
CAGUCGCCGCGGGAAUACGUAGGUGGCGAGCGUUGUCCGGAAUCAUUGGGCGUAAAGGGAGCGCAGGCGGGCAUGUAAGUCUUUCUUAAAAGUUCGGGGCUCAACCCCGUGAUGGGAAAGAAACUACAUGUCUUGAGUACAGGAGAGGAAAGCGGAAUUCCCAGUGUAGCGGUGAAAUGCGUAGAUAUUGGGAGGAACACCAGUGGCGAAGGCGGCUUUCUGGACUGCAACUGACGCUGAGGCUCGAAAGCCAGGGGAGCGAACGGGAUUAGAUACCCCUGUAGUCCCUGUCUCUUAUACA